rnacentral:rRNA from 1 species
GACGAACGCUGGCGGCGUGCUUAACACAUGCAAGUCGAGCGGUAAGGCCCUUCGUAGGUACACGAGCGGCGAACGGGUGAGUAACACGUGGGUGACCUGCCCUCCAGCUCUGGGAUAAGCCUGGGAAACUGGGUCUAAUACUGGAUAUGACUCCACGGUGCAUGUCGUGGGUGGAAAGCCUUGUGCGGCUGAGGAUGGGCCCGCGGCCUAUCAGCUUGUUGGU